rnacentral:rRNA from 1 species
GACGAACGCUGGCGGCGUGCCUAAUACAUGCAAGUUGAGCGCUGAAGGUUGGUACUUGUAUCACUUGGAUGAGCAGCGAACGGGUGAGUAACGCGUGGGGAAUCUGCCUUUGAGCGGGGGACAACAUCUGGAAACGAAUGCUAAUACCGCAUAAAAACUUUAAACACAUGUUUUAAGAUUGAAAGAUGCAAUUGCUUCACUCAAUGAUGAUACCGCGUUGUAUUAGCUAGUUGGUUAGGUAAAGGCUCAACAAGGCGAAGAUAGAUAGCCGACCUGAGAGGGUGAUCGGCCAAAUUGGGAAUGGGACACGGGCCAAACUCCUACGGGGGGGAGCAGGAGGGAAACCUCGGGAAUAGACGAAAGUCUGACCGAGCAACGCCGCGUGGGUGAAGAAGGGUUUCGGAUCGGAAAACUCUGUUGGUAGAGAAGAACGAUAGGGGGAGGGGAAAGCGCAUCAAGUGACGGUAACUACCCAGAAAGGGACGGCUAACUACGUG